rnacentral:rRNA from 1 species
GGCUCUGGUUAAUACCUGGGGUCGAUGACGGUACCGGAAGAAUAAGGACCGGCUAACUACGUGCCAGCAGCCGCGGUAAUACGUAGGGUCCAAGCGUUAAUCGGAAUUACUGGGCGUAAAGCGUGCGCAGGCGGUUGUGCAAGACCGAUGUGAAAUCCCCGAGCUUAACUUGGGAAUUGCAUUGGUGACUGCACGGCUAGAGUGUGUCAGAGGGGGGUAGAAUUCCACGUGUAGCAGUGAAAUGCGUAGAGAUGUGGAGGAAUACCGAUGGCGAAGGCAGCCCCCUGGGAUAACACUGACGCUCAUGCACGAAAGCGUGGGGAGCAAACAGGAUUAGAUACCCUGGUAGUCCACGCCCUAAACGAUGUCAACUAGUUGUUGGGGAUUCAUUUCCUUAGUAACGUAGCUAACGCGUGAAGUUGACCGCCUGGGGAGUACGGUCGCAAGAUUAA